AUCCUGGCUCAGAUUGAACGCUGGCGGCAGGCCUAACACAUGCAAGUCGAAUGGUAACAGGAAACAGCUUGCUGUUUCGCUGACGAGUGGCGGACGGGUGAGUAAUGUCUGGGAAACUGCCUGAUGGAGGGGAUAACUACUGGAAACGGUAGCUAAUACCGCAUAACGUCGCAAGACCAAAGAGGGGGGACCCUUCGGGCCUCUUGCCAUCAGAUGUGCCCAGAUGGGAUUAGCUAGUAGGUGGGGUAACGGCUCACCUAGGCGACGAUCCCUAGCUGGUCUGAGAGGAUGACCAGCCACACUGGAACUGAGACACGGUCCAGACUCCUACGGGAGGCAGCAGUGGGGAAUAUUGCACAAUGGGCGCAAGCCUGAUGCAGCCAUGCCGCGUGUAUGAAGAAGGCCUUCGGGUUGUAAAGUACUUUCAGCGGGGAGGAAGGGAGUAAAGUUAAUACCUUUGCUCAUUGACGUUACCCGCAGAAGAAGCACCGGCUAACUCCGUG
rnacentral:rRNA from 1 species